rnacentral:lncRNA from 1 species
AUAAUUAUCAAAUAAUUUUUGUCACGGGGCUCCUUCAUUAUCCGUUGAAGGUCCUCACCCUAGCCGCGGUUAGUUAUCGACGGAUCACUGGGCGCUGUGGUCUAGGAUGCUCGCGCAGUAACAAUAAAAAUUAACAUAAGUUCCGGGGCCUAGAAAAUAAGCGUUCCGCGGGUGGGGAUAAUUCCACACCAGGGGCAAGUGAAGUUGGCGCACCGAAAAGCGACAUUGUGAAGCCGGAGCCCGAGACACCAGCACGUGAUCUUGGAAAACAGAUUUAAUUUACCGUUGACUAAAUCCCGAGCUACGACGCAAUUAACCAGAUCCGAGAUACCUGAUAAAGCUGUGUAAUUUGGCGGACAAAAUUUGCCUAGACCGAAGGCCACAGAAACGACAACGGAAGCCGAAUUAAAAGAAAAGAAAUCGCCAAAAAUUUCUCAGGUACAGAAAAUUUAACCUCGGUAAAUUAUUGCGUCGCUCCCGGAAAUUCUAGGCACAGGCCAGGUUCCGUCUUCCAAUCACCCUACUUGAUUAAUUAAUUAAUUAUCCGAAUUCAAAU